CUAAGGAAACCAAUAAAAUCAAUCAUCUUCAGUUUUGAAAGACUUAGGAUAACUAAGUUUUUCUUCGUGGCUUCACGAAGGGCCUAUAGCUCAGUUGG
rnacentral:misc_RNA from 1 species